CCUACGGGAGGCAGCAGUGGGGAAUCUUGCGCAAUGGGCGGAAGCCUGACGCAGCGACGCCGCGUGCGGGAGGAAGGCCCUCGGGUCGUAAACCGCUUUCAGCAGGGACGAGGCCGCAAGGUGACGGUACCUGCAGAAGAAGCCCCGGCUAACUACGUGCCAAGCAGCCCGCGGUAAUAC
rnacentral:rRNA from 1 species